rnacentral:rRNA from 1 species
CCUACGGGAGGCAGCAGUGGGGAAUAUUGCACAAUGGGGGAAACCCUGAUGCAGCGACGCCGCGUGAGUGAAGAAGUAUUUCGGUACGUAAAGCUCUAUCAGCAGGGAAGAAAAAAAGUCCUUUGGCCUUUGGACGGUACCUGACUAAGAAGCCCCGGCUAACUACGUGCCAGCAGCCGCGGUAAUACGUAGGGGGCAAGCGUUAUCCGGAUUUACUGGGUGUAAAGGGAGCGUAGACGGCAGCGCAAGUCUGGAGUGAAAUGCCGGGGCCCAACCCCGGAACUGAGUUGGAAACUGUGCAGCUGGAGUGCAGGAGAGGUAAGCGGAAUUCCUAGUGUAGCGGUGAAAUGCGUAGAUAUUAGGAGGAACACCAGUGGCGAAGGCGGCUUACUGGACUGUAACUGACGUUGAGGCUCGAAAGCGUGGGGAGCAAACAGGAUUAGAUACCCGUGUAGUC